CUUUGCGGCAUGGGANGGGGUCGCGUCCUAUCAGCUUGAUGGCGGGGUAACGGCCCACCAUGGCUUCGACGGGUAGCCGGCCUGAGAGGGCGACCGGCCACAUUGGGACUGAGAUACGGCCCAGACUCCUACGGGAGGCAGCAGUGGGGAAUAUUGCACAAUGGGCGCAAGCCUGAUGCAGCGACGCCGCGUGAGGGAUGGAGGCCUUCGGGUUGUAAACCUCUUUUGUUAGGGAGCAAGGCACUUUGUGUUGAGUGUACCUUUCGAAUAAGCACCGGCUAACUACGUGCCAGCAGCCGCGGUAAUACGUAGGGUGCAAGCGUUAUCCGGAAUUAUUGGGCGUAAAGGGCUCGUAGGCGGUUCGUCGCGUCCGGUGUGAAAGUCCAUCGCUUAACGGUGGAUCCGCGCCGGGUACGGGCGGGCUUGAGUGCGGUAGGGGAGACUGGAAUUC
rnacentral:rRNA from 1 species